GCCUUGUUAGCGCAGUAGGUAGCUCCUCAGACUCAUAAUCUGAAGGUCGUGAGUUCAAUCCUCACAUAAUUCA
rnacentral:tRNA from 1 species